GGAAGUUAAGAAACUGUUUCUUAACUUUUAACUAAAAAAACAAAGAACCGGUUCUUAAAAUCCUUAUUUAAGAACCGUUUCUUAGCUUUUUUAGUUAAAAGUUAAUAAACAGUUUAUUAACUUCC
rfam:Brassica oleracea var. oleracea cultivar TO1000 chromosome C9, whole genome shotgun sequence